UACGGAGGGUGCAAGCGUUAUCCGGAUUCACUGGGUUUAAAGGGUGCGUAGGAGGGCAGGUAAGUCAGUGGUGAAAUCUCCAAGCUUAACUUGGAAACUGCCGUUGAUACUAUCUGUCUUGAAUACCGUGGAGGUGAGCGGAAUAUGUCAUGUAGCGGUGAAGUGCUUAGAUAUGACAUAGAACACCAAUUGCGAAGGCAGCUCGCUACACGAAUAUUGACUCUGAGGCACGAAAGCGUGGGGAUCAAACAGG
rnacentral:rRNA from 1 species